rnacentral:lncRNA from 1 species
CCAAGGUCUCCAGAUAAAAACCCAGUGUGGCCAACAUCUUGAUUUUAGCAGAGGACUUAAGCAGAGAACCAAGAUAAUCCUCUCUCCACAACUUGAUAAUGCACAAACUGCAAAUCUUCUGGUACUCACUGCUGCAAGCAAACUUGAAGUCUUUCUGAGCCUGACUCUUCAUUCCUGCCUUGUGUGACCCAGGGAUGGAGGACUGCCCUCCCAACUCAUUAUCCUCUUUGCCCAGGAGCUCCAUCCUGUUGCCAUCUGCUAAAAUCCUCAGCCCACCUGCAUAGUGAACAGCAUUCAUUGUUUUCCAGAAAUGUGCAAGAACCACAGUCUCCCCCAAGACUGAAGAUCUGCUUCAUCGACAUGGCAGGGAACGUGGCUGAACACAGAGGACUCAUUUUUGCAGCUUCCCUACCAGAGAGAGAGAGACACCCUUUUUACCCGAGUUCUGAGUUGAAAUAUCCUAGAAGAGAACUCUGAUUGGCCUGGCUUGGGUCACAUGCCUGUCCUUGAGUUGAUCAACUGUGAUUAGUUAUAAGUGUACUCAUUAGUAACUUCCCCUGGAACCUUAGAUUUGAUGUGGGGUAAGACUUCCAAAAACAAACAAAAAAAUAAAACAGAAGAAUGCUAUUUCUGGAGAAAAGAAUCUGAAAAAUAGAUUAACAAUAUAAAGGCAGCACAAGUAGCAAAGAGUUAAUAAGCUGUAAUUUCAGGAGCACUCCCUUAUUGUCUCAUAAUUCCUUGGACUACCUCCAAUAGUUAAGAAUCUUAGUAAUAACACUCUGAAAAAGGCAACUUGUGAAACUCACUUGAGUUUAAAUGACUGGUAGGCCAUCUCUUUUCUGAGAUCAGAACCUUUUGUUUGCAGAGGGAGAAAGAAAUAGGAUGGAGAAGGCAGACUUAGAGUGUCUGGAGGAAGUAGGAUGCAGGAAUUCUAUGCCACUGCCACUCCUUUGUCGUUUCUUGGUACCAAUUUCUCCCUGUCAAGCUGGUAGCGUUACUGAGGUAUCAAUACCACCAAUAGGGCCAUAGAGGUUGCAUAUCUCCAUCACUCACAUUAUACCCUAUAGAUUUCUAGAAUGUUUUACAACGUCAUUGUGAAUGGUGGCUUCUGGAGUUAAAUAAUGGGGCAGUCUACAUUGAUUAUCAAAUGUGCAUACUUGCUUCAUUUCAAAAGCUUUAUUUUAUUCUUAUUAUGUAUAUAAUACAUACAUCUG